rnacentral:misc_RNA from 1 species
GAAAUGCGAUAAGUAGUGUGAAUUGCAGAAUUCAGUGAAUCAUCGAAUCUUUGAACGCACAUUGCGCCCCUCGGUAUUCCGUGGGGCAUGCCUGUUCGAGCGUCAUCUACACCCUCAAGCUCUGCUUGGUGUUGGGCGUCUGUCCCGCCUCCGCGCGCGGACUCGCCCCAUAUGCAUUGGCAGCGGUUCCUUGCCCCCCUCUUUGCGCAGCACAUUGCCAUUCGAGGCGGCGGCGGCCCGCGUCCAACAAGCUCAACCCCCCCGUCUUUGACCUCGGAUCAGGUAGGGAUACCCGCUGAACUUAAGC